UUGCGACUAUAUCACGUUGAAACCGCUUCUCGUACCAUCACUGAAGUUAAGGAACGUCAAGCCUGGUCAGUACCUAGAUGGGUGACCGCUUGGGAAUACCAGGUGUUGUAAG